GCCCUUUGCCAAACGCUUUGCGUGCCCUAUAUGGCUCGCGUCGGGUUCCACCCGGCUAUGGCGAUAAACUGCGGCGUAAAAUAGACGCAGCGGACCCGGGGGCGGUACCCGGCGGCUCCACCACCGCAGCUGUGCCGGACGACGAUAUGCAUCACGCGUGCCGCCGUCCGAUCCAGCUACGCUGACGGGGCCGAACUAGGAUCGACGUGUGUUGAAAGGCGCUGUUUUCGCUCGGAAUGGGACCACCGCAACGGCCCAUUACACAAGUGCCAACGAUAACGAAGCACUCGCGAUUGCGGCGUAACUGAGGGCCUAACGGCCUGACGUUACCCCAAAAGAGCGCGGUUGGACCCCACCGGGCAACAGAAGGGGAAACCAGCGGUACGGGGAGCACCGGGCAACAGAAGCUCCCCACU
rnacentral:tmRNA from 1 species